rnacentral:lncRNA from 1 species
AUGCUUACAUUGCUUAUUAACAAGGGCUUCCAUUUCUUUCUCAGAAUGCAUCAAGCAGUUCCUCCGUUUGGGGUCAAGACAAUUUGCCAGAUAAAAUGGAAUUCCAAGAGAACUAGGGUGUGGAGGAAAAAAACCUCUGGAGAGUUUUCUCCAAAUGCAGCCAGUUCCUACUCAUUGAUGCUGUGCCAGCCACCUGCAUCCCCCCCAGGGCUGGAGACUCAUCGACGGCACUCAUGUGACAGGCUGCCGACGGCCAGCACUGGCAGUUCAUGGAGGUCUCCCCAACGCCGGGGUGUCUGAGAAAGUCCCAGGUCCCAGAGGCAGACAAGUAAGUGACCUGAGUACAGCUAAAGCUUGAUCCAGCUGUGGGACUUAUGGCCUAAUGAAAUAAGCAAUUCCCAGAAUGGCCUUAACCCUCAGAAUGUAAUUCUAACCACACUAUGUAGAUAAAUAUAAUUUAGUGAUUUCCUCCCACUACACUCUUGGGUAUAAACCAAGAUAUCUUCAGCACGGCUAUUCUGAUGCUACUGUACAAUUAUAAAUAUUUAAAUUGUUCUACAUUCUUAUCAGUGUUUAUCAGCAGUAUGCAAUCGGGCAUUUAAGGUGGAAGAAUUCUUCUCCGAGCAGGAUUGUCCCAUGGCCUUGCAGAAUGUUUGGCACCUCUCGUCCAACAAAUGCCAUUUACUCUGAUAGUCCCCAGAAGCACAUUUCCAAACAAGUCGAGGAGUGAGAGGUACUCAUGAAUCCUGGGGUUCAGGGUGAGGUUAGAUUUGAUCCAUUUUACAGUAGGAGAAUCUUGGAAGGGACAGAAGAGGGCACCCAAACCCACUCUGGGUUGGAUGCUAAGGGGGCAAGGCUCAGCGAGUCAGGAAGAGCUCAUCCAUGGCACGGGGGCAGCCAGAACAAAGCCUGUCUGUGGAAGAAGGCCGAGGUCCUGAGUGUAGGUAGGACAUGCACAGGUUCCUUGAAUGAAGAAGCCAAGGCAGUGAAGAAGCUGGGCUCACAGAACUUAAGAGUUCAGAGCUGAAUAGAGGCCAAAGUGUACAAAAUGGAUAAAGAAUGAGCAAGGGGUAGGGUAUGGUCCUGUAUAACUGCUCUGAACCCUGGCUGCAAUCUGAUCUCUUCACAGCCUUCACGGGCAAGGGGCCAAGAAGGCUCCUUCAAGGGGCAGCUCAUUGAUUCCGGACCGUUCUAGUGGUUUGAAGGUUCUCCUAGUUAGGAACUAACUCUCCUAUCUUGCUUGGUCCUUAAAAGAGCAACAGCAACACUACCCUGCCACCAUCACCACUGUGGCCAUGACCUGCUAAUCUGACUCACUGCAGAGAAUUUCCAAGCCCCUCCAAGUGGCCAUAAAGUUAGAGAGGCUCUAAAACCAGCCAAGAGGGGGCACGAGUACUAGAAUCUGUGCUGAUCUCUGUGACUUAAUGUCUAGAAACUCAAUAGAACUAGCAGGAUGGCA